rnacentral:rRNA from 1 species
CAGUAGCCGCGGUAAUACAGAGGGUGCGAGCGUUAAUCGGAUUUACUGGGCGUAAAGCGUGCGUAGGCGGCUUCUUAAGUCGGAUGUGAAAUCCCUGAGCUUAACUUAGGAAUUGCAUUCGAUACUGUGAAGCUAGAGUAUGGGAGAGGAUGGUAGAAUUCCAGGUGUAGCGGUGAAAUGCGUAGAGAUCUGGAGGAAUACCGAUGGCGAAGGCAGCCAUCUGGCCUAAUACUGACGCUGAGGUACGAAAGCAUGGGGAGCAAACAGGAUUAGAGACCCCCGUAGUCCCUGUCUCUUAUAC